rnacentral:lncRNA from 1 species
UUCUUCUUGAAGAUCCAUUUUCACCCGACUGUCUUACGUCCUGGCACAUUGUCAACCAUGUUCCAAACUUGACUGUCAUACAUGGACAGUAUCUCGCUGUCCAUAGCCUCCUUCCAUUUGGUAGACUCCGGGCCUGCCAUGGCUUCCUUAACACUGCUAGGUUCAUCCCAAUUUACUAGUGUACUAUCUCUGAUAAACGUAUCACCUUCUGUAGUAAUAUGAAAACCAUAAUAAAACCCAGGUGUCUUCCUAACCUGUGUGGAACGCCUCGGAGGUACAGACUCGUCAGCUGGCUCAACAGGAGUUUCCUCCUCAGGUUGAUCGCUAGUGUCUGAGGUUCCUUCACCAUUUGAUUCUUGAAUUUCUUCGAGGUCAAUUUGCCUCCCACUGUCUCCUUGGCUUAUAAACUCUCUCUCACGAAAGACUCCUCUUCUUGCUACAAAGACCACAUUCUCACUGGGUCUGUAGAAGAGGUAACCGAAGGAAUUCUGUGGGUAGAUGAUGAAAAUACACCUUUCACUUCGGGGUUCGAGCUUAUCAUGAGUCUCACGCCUCACGAAAAGCCUCGCAUCCCCAAAUCUUGAUGUGUUCCAAAUUGGGAACCUUCCCAGUCCACAUCUCAUGAGGUGUUUUGGUAACCUUCUUUGUAGGGACUAGAUUAAGGAUAUGGGCGGCAGUCUCUAAGGCAUACCCCCAAAAAGAGAUUGGUAGCAAAGCUCGACUCAUCAUAGAGCGAACCAUGUCUAACAAGGUUCGAUUACGCCUCUCAUCUACACCAUUUAGUUGUGGUGUCCUUGGAGGAGUCAAUUGUGAGACAAGCCCACACUCCUUAAGAUAGUCAAGGAACUCGGUACUAAGAUACUCACCACCUCGAUCGGAUCGAAGCAUCUUAAUGUUCUUGCCCAAUUGAUUUUCUACUUCCUGUUUAAAUUCUUUAAACCUGUCAAAGAUUUCUGACUUACGUUUGAUUAAGUAGACAUAACCAUAUCUACUAAAAUCAUCAAUAAAAGUCACAUAAUACCGAUUAGCAUCCCUUGNGGAUCGAAGCAUCUUAAUGUUCCUGCCCAAUUGAUUUUCUACUUCCUGUUUGAAUUCCUUAAACCUUUCAAAGGUUUCGGACUUGUGUUUGAUCAAGUAGACAUACCCAUAUCUACUAUAAUCAUCAAUAAAAGUCACAUAAUACCGAUUAGCGUCCCUUGUGGCGGUUUUGAAUGGCCCACAUACAUC